UCCAGGAGACCGAAGAGAAGACAGUUGGUGUAGGAAGAAAAAAGAUUAGUUAGGGCUAGAGAAGAGAAGAGAAGAGAUUGAACAAAGUGAAAAUGAGAGACAGUUGAAAGUGAAUUGGGUUAGCAGACUGAGGGGACAGUUGGUGACAGUUGAGCCAGGAGAAGCUGACCUGAGCCAUUAUUAGGAAACAGACAAAAAAAGAAACCAUGAAUAACCUGCAAACACAGUAGUAAUUAAAAAAUGAAAUGAAAGCAUUAAGGAACAACAAAAAAAAUUAGAAAAAACUACACCCUUCUUCCAUGGGGUUUCAAAGGGCUCCUCCCUCCACGACUUCCUUCAACAAUGGGUCCUGUGCGGAGGAUAGUCUGCACUGCCUCUAAUGCCAUCACAUCCCAGGUCUAUUUACAUUCUCGCCACUUCUGCCUCCACUCGGCCAGCAGGGCCUUGUUCUUGCUGCCUUGGGAAAUUCCUUCCAGGAGAACCUGGUACUGUACUUUACUGCAGCCUCCAUUUUAAAAAAAGAACCCUAUAAAUAUGGGGUGGUUUAAAUAACGAAAUUAAUUUUCUCACUCUCUUGGAGGCUAGAAAUCUAGAAUAAAAAUAUUGGCAGGGUUGUCUCAGCUCUCUCUUCUUGGUUUGCAGAUGGUCACCUUUCUGUUCCCUCACUGUCUCCCCUCCGUUCAUAUUUGUCCUCAUCUCCCCUUUGUAAGGAGUCAGUAGUCAUGCUGGAUUAGAGGCCACCUGUGAUCUCAUAUUUCAAGAGGCCCCAUCUUCAACUAAAGCCAAGAUUCCUAAGUGGUGAUGUUUAGGGCUUCGACAUAUGGAUGUUUUAGAGGAGGAAUGAUUUCAGCCCUUUCUGGGGACCAUAUAUUUUCUCUGCAGGCGACACAUCUUGGACAUGAUUUUUUUUUGUUUGGAUUCCAUGCACUUGUUUGUGCCUUUCCCCUAGCUGUACACACUUCCUUUAAUCUUCCCUGCCUCUCCACUGCCUGCCAGCUCCAUCCCCACCCGCACGGAGCCUUCUGUCUUCGUAGCCCAUGCUUGUCCAAUGCCUACCACGCUUCCCGUCUGUUCCACUUGGUUGAACACUUAAUCCUGCUUCUCUUGUGUUUGCUGCCGUUUUGCCCGGUGUAUUGUGUCUACUCUGCUUGACUGUGUGCCUCUUGUGGACAGAAGUCCUGGCUUUCGUUUUCUUUUACAUCUAUUUAGUGUUGGGCGAGAGGCUAGUAAUAAAUAAUAUUGUUGAUUGAUUAGAGACUGACUUGCGUGGGCCCUGUGAGGCGCUCCUUAAAUGCCAACCCCGAAUCCUUCCAUGGUGGGAGGGAGAGUGCUGCAACCCCCUGAACGGUUGAAGGAGCCGCUGGCACAGGCAUUUUCCCUUUAAGAGGCAAUGAAUUCAGGGACCUGGGAAAGGUUUAAACAUGAGUCUUAAAUUAUUUGCUCAGCUUUGAUUUUUAUUUUACAAGAUGCCAGGGCAGUGCUGGGAGCUAUUUGCAGAAGGGAUGCGUGAGAGAGAUGAAGAGAGACUGUGAGUGGAUUUACCCAGGUGUUGUCUCAUAGAAAAAUAUGUGUGCACUGGGUAGGGGCUUCUCCAAUUCGGAAGCAUGGAGAAGUCUGGGUUCUGCCCCUGGGCUCACUGGAGGGAGAUUUGAUUUCUAUUCCGGCAGUGUUGUCUCUCUGCUGGGAUGCAUUGAGCUAAGCCACUGUCAAGUAUGGCCCCUCGGAGGAGGACGAGGAAGAUCGGCUAUUUAUAGUCUGAAGUCAGACUCGACCCACCUUUUCAGCCUGUAAUUUACAGUAUAUGAUGAGAAAAUGAACUUCUAUUGCCGCAGGAAUGUGAAAGGACAGGAGACAGAUUUUUCAGAAGCCUGUAGUUUGGCUUAUGUGCUUAUGAAAUGUGUGUAAAAAAUGGCCGCUUUGCUUUGCCAGAAGACGGUUCCUCCUGGUCUGCAGUGACUUGUGCCCUAAAUGCCUAUGUCCUGGAGUCUUGGGGACGGAUGGUGUCUUCUUAGAUGUGUGUGUGUGUGUGUGUGUGUGUGUGUGUGUGUGAAGGAGGAAGAGGAGAUUCAGGAAAGGAUGCAUAUGCCUUCAGUGUUAUGGUGAAGGAAGUGCUCUGAGUUUACAGAGGCAGUCAUGUGAUCCCUAAGAUUGGCUUUGUCUGGGGAUUCAAGAUAAGAGCAUUGCUUCACAUUAACCCCUUGACCAUAACCUUGGCUAUUAUUUGGACUAGAGCACUUGCCAUAAUCUGAAACCCUGCAUGAGGUUAACUUGGACUCUCAACAGACAAUUUUUGGAACAAUUCAGAAGACACAUAGAAUUUAAGAGUGCACUCAAUCCAGGAAAUCUGGAUUGUCAGAUUUUUUUUUUUUUUACCAUAGGUGAGCACUGUGCAGGCUGUGGAGGUGAGUUAUGUCCUCAUGGUCCCUGUCUUGGACUUAGGAUAAGAUUGUCACCACCCUAGGACUCACAGACUAUAUCUAUCUGCAAUGCCUGGUGCUUGUUUAUUCAGGGUGGUCAGGGCUGCAAUUGCAACUGGGCGGCCCCUAAGAAAAUUCUUGCCCCAGAGAAGAUAAGAAUGCAUAAUGUGAGAUAGACUUGCCAGGAAUGUCGAGGAUGAGCUGAGACGAAGACAGAUACUGCAUGACUAGAUGCAGCUAAACACUUGAAACCAAUGCUGGAUGUGGGGAGGGAGAAACACAUGCACAUGCACUAACUUGUGCAUGCUCAAAGGCUGUGUGUGUCAGAGAGAGAGAGAAAGAGAGAGAGAGAGAGAGAGAGAGAGAGAGAGAGAGAGAGAGAGAGAGAGAGAGAGAGAGAGGUGUUUCUAAGGCAUAGGAAUAUAAGGAUUCAGGCCUAUGGAUGUCAGUCAUCAGAAAAGUUUCAGCAGUUUGAUCAUUGGGAGGACCCCGCAUAGGAGAGCAGGAAGCAGUUGGUUGGUGAGUGAAGAAGACACGAGGUAGUGGGUAGAAUAUAGUUAGGGAGACCUCUGUUAUCUCAUGCAUAUCUUUUAUACCACCACUAAUUUCUGUGCCCAGGAACUUGUUAACUGUUGAGGCAGGGGAAGUUCUGAGAUUCCCAUGAUGAUAGCCAGUCUCAUAGUUUCACACGGAAAUUUCAUCUUUGCAUUACAUGCCUUGCAUUUUGUUACCAGGCAAGAACCAUCAUAGAAUUACAGUACCUUCUUGGGAAACCAUUUCAUUCUGCUUUGGCAGUGAGCAUCUUUGUUCCCCAGAAUGCUUCCCUCUGAGAUACCGUUUUGUCAGGCUUACUUUGAAGGGCUCUAGUAACAAGUUUGCGGAUAUUCUUGUCCAGAAACAUGCCUUUUCAAUUGGUACUACUGUGCUUCCUAGCUUUGGAAACACGGAACAGGAGAGAUGGGCCAGGCCUCCCGGAGCCAGAAAUCAGGAGAGGAACACGGAUGGCCACAUCACAGCAGUCAGAAGAGAAGACUGAACAAUUUGAGGAAAGUUCAAGAACACAAAGAACACUGACAUAUUUCUGGGAGCUCAGACGGAUGGUUAAUGGACUGGAGAAGCUUUCGACUCAACUGGAGCGAUACGAUAAACAUGGAGUAAGGCACGGGGAAACUGGGAAAACCGCAUCUCCAUGUUGGUCGCCGUGUCUUCUGAUGGUGAGAAUGCCCCUCUGUUCAAACAUCCUUGAGGCUGAAGUUCGGCUGCUUUUACUCUACUGGAGUUGAAGGUACCGAUUGCCACACGUGUGUGCUAACAAAGGGUCGGUUUCCUCCAAAGACCCUGAUUUCCCAGUCACCUUGUGAGUCUGACCUCUUCCCACCCUUUGUGGGCUUUUCUGGGUGAUUAUGAGAAGCGAUACCACAAAUUGAGGUCCAAUCCAUCAUGGCUGUAGGAGGUGGGUUCCUUUAUCCCAAUGAGCAUACUCCUAACCUCAUGAAUAUUCAUAAAGCUGUAUUUAAAGCCCACACUGUAGAUCCCACCUGGCCGCUUCCUUUCUUAGGACAGCCCACUCCAGGCUUUGCUUGAUGUGCAUGAUUUGUGUUGCUAAAUAAAAUUCUGCUUGACAGGCUGUGUGCCUCUCAACUAAAUUCUUUCCCUUGAGAAGAAAGGAACUGAAAGAACCCAUGACCUACCCCAGACCCUCAGACAAUCCAUGACCAUCCAAUGUCUCGUGAGUAUCCAACCUGGCUAAAGCCUUUUUCAGGGCAUGAGAGUUGAGAGAAGAAUCUCUCACUACAGCCUCAAGGGACUUUAUAGUCAAAGAAGGGGGAAGAGGUUCAUGUACAACAGCAAACAUUAGCCUAAGGCUGGGCAUGUUUUGGAGAUUGUGAGUCGGGGCUGUCACUGUCUAGAAAGCCAUAGCCCUCUGUUUCUUCUCCUGCGUGGGGGGAAGGUGGUUCUAGGAAUUACUGGGGUUCUUGAAAUUCUCAAUUUGUAGCCACUCCUGACAGGGAUGACCAAAACAAAGAACCCAAACCCAGUCGAAAAUAACAGCAACAAAAUACCAACAGCAACAACCAGACAGCAAUGGCACAACCCCUUAGUUUCUGAAUAAAGGGACUAUGUUUCCUUCUUGUAACUUGUUUUGCUCUUGUAACUUUCUCUAAGCCAGAUUCUAGCCAUCUCUGCUUUCUUUGUUCCUAAGUGACUUUGAUUUUCAAUACAGUUACAAGUGUCUUGGGUCUUUUAAUGUAAUGAAAUAGCUUUUAAAUAAGGGCAGAGACACUGGGAAAGAGGCCAGGACAGAUUUUCACCUUUUCUCCCUAGCCAUUAGCCACUAGUCCUUGCUUGUGUGACCACUUGAGUGUUACUGGUUGGGGAGAGGGGACAGGAGGCACAUCUGCAGGAGAUGGGGAGGGACUUUCAGAAACUGAAUCCUGGAAUCUGAGUGUUAGACUCCUUUGGGUUUUCUGUAGAAACAGCUUUGUGUCCUUGUGCCCAGUGGUAGGCUGUCAUAAUUUCAGUUCUCUCUGAUCUUGGAGUAGGUGGGAAUUGCCAGGUGGGAGGGAUGCUGGUACUGUCCUGGAAAUGUCCUCUGACGAUGUCCUCUGAAGGUUUUCCUCUCUUCUCUCUGUUUUAUCCUUUUCUGCUACAUGUAGAUGCACACAACACCCCUCCCUCCACCCUCCAUCUCUCACAUCCACAGAGAGGGAGGGAAUGGAGAGAGAGGAAGAUAGGGAGAGAAGAAGAGAGGGAGAGAGACAGGGAAAGUGACAGAGAGACACACACACAGAGAACACCCAAAGGAUCUGUGUGAGGUAUACAGCAUAAAACAAGGUGGCCAUGUGGCUAUUUUGCAAGAACAUGCAGCUUGUAUGUCGUUAAGCCCUGGCCUGGGGUUGGGAAGCUUCCCUCCUAAUUUUUAUUUUUAAUCUAGUGGAUCUGGGUAAGUUACUUCCUUCUUUGAAUUUUGUGUUUCUGCAUUGUACUAUUUAUUUUAAAAAUCUGGUAGAAUAUAAUUUCUAGCCCCUGCCUUAUAUUAGGAAGGUACUUAGAAUCACAGACAAACAGGACUUCGAAAUUAUAUUGUUAAGAGUCUAGUAGCAUAAGAUAGUUUGAGGUGGGUUACUUUAUUCAUGUUUGGACACAUUUUAAUAGAUGAAGAGGUAGCAUUGGUGUAGCUGUUAAGAGCAUGGCUGGAAUAAAUAAUAAACAUGGAUCUAGAAGGGCAGACUACUUGGGUUUGAAUUCUAUAAUCAUCUACUAAUUAUAUUAUUUCCUAUGCCUCAUUUUCUUCACUCAUAAAAUGGCGAUGACAUUUCUUCCUCAUAGUAAGACAAAUAGGUACCCAGAAAGAAAUUAUGACUAAGAACAUGGAGAUUCUUAGAAAGGGGCUUAAUACAUCAUAAAUGCCACAUUAACAAAAGAUUGAAAAAAUGGUUUAAAAUAACAUCCAUUGGUUGUUAUUCUGUAAGAGCUAAGAGAAUCUCUUCUGAUUGCUAACUCAAUGGCAAUGAUACUGGAUAAUGGAAAUAUCAUCAUCACAACACCACUAACCUGAGAAGAGUUCUCAGUACUAACUCUGAGGAAUUUUGAAAAGGAAUGCAAAUCUUUUGUGAUUGUGUAUAAUUUGUUUUCCAGUGGCUCCACAGAUCAGGUCCAGGUCAAUUCUGUGAAGCCCAUGUAUUACAGUAUUGAUAGACCAACCUCCUAUUGGUCAUUUCCUCUAACUAACCAGGUUUGAGAGGUCCUCGAAAUGUUCACCUCCUUCCUCACUUGCUGAGUCACACGUUCCUGACUCCUUAAGUAGCCUAUACUAUUGGUACCAUUUUGAACCUUCUCUUCAGCUUCAGAUUUGAUGGUGAUCUCAGUCACUCCCACGUUCCUGUUCCUUAUACCCAAUGAGUCCCAGAGAGCAGCAAUCAGUUUUUAUUGCUGCCAUGGGAUAUAAACAACGUAAGAAGAAAGAUUUAUUCCGGCUCAUGGUUUUGGAGGUCUCAACAAACGAUGGUGGGGAGAGCAUGGCGGGGGCGGGGAGUAGAUCAGAUCAUGAGAGUCUAGAAGUGUAACAAGAAUGCACGUAAUGUGAAUGGGAUUUUUGCUUUCCUAUUUAUUUCAACGUUGCUUGGCAAUGUUACAUAGUGUUGUCACAUUCAGGAUGGGUUCUCCUACCUCAGUUACUCCUCCUUGGAAAUGUCUCCCAAGGCACAUUCAGAAGUGGAUUUAAAUAAUCUCUUGGCCACCUAUCAAUGCAGCCGAGAGUAACCAUCACACAAAGCUUCCGGUCUCACUUCCUAAUUAUUCCUAGCCUAUUUCCUGUUCUCUACUCCCACUGUUCCUUUAAGGAGUGUGUGGCUUUCCUGCUUCCAGAGAUAGCCUUGGGAAAUCCCUGCUUAGCCCUAUGGCCAGAUAGAUUAUGACAAAACAGAUUGAUAAUGCUCUUCCAAGAUCUGAAAGUUAGUGGACCAUUUUACUUUCCCAUGUACAUUAAAACCUCACAUUCUUAUUCUGGAUUCUCAGGGUUUAGCUCUGACGUUUUAUCACCCGUCUCUCUAAACUUCCCUUGGGAUUUUUCAUGUCUCAGUCCUGUGCUUUGCAGCUCUGAUCCUGCCAUGGUCACCAUUAGACACGCCCAUUCCUCUGUGACGGUGAAGAAGAUCACACACGGAAGAACUCGGGCAAGUCCUUCAUCAGUUCUUUAGUAGUCAAGAUUGAAUUCAACAUUGAAUCUCUACAUCUGAUUGCCCUUGAAGGUCUGUGACCUUCUGCCUUCUUUUCAUUGUUAUCCUGUUUAUAUUAAUAAACUGCCUAUUAUCAGUC